rnacentral:lncRNA from 1 species
AUCUUAUGGUCCUGAAAUGACCCCUGUCACUGAGGCAGGGAGCAGAGGAGACUGGGAAUUUGUGCUGAUGGUAAAUAGAUAUGGUUUGAAUCCUGGCCACUGCCCACCAGCCAUGUGACCAAGACUUAACCAUAUUUUUUCGGGGUGUUAUGCAGAGAUAAUGAGAUCAAAAUUGUAAGGCAUCUAGUACUGACAUAAUAAGCUCUCAACAAAUGGUAGCUAUUUAAGUGUUAAUAACAAAUCCUUUUCAGAUGGUUUCUAUAACAGUGAAUUUGCAAAUAGUUGGAACCUCUGAAGUGCUUCCUCUCCUGGACUGGAAACCCCUUGAGGAUGUGUACGGCACCCGCAUCCCCUCCAUCUGCACCCGCAGCCACA